UACGUAGGGUGCAAGCGUUGUCCGGAAUUAUUGGGCGUAAAGGGCUCGUAGGCGGUCCAUCGCGUCGGGGAGUGAAAAGCUGGGGCUUAACCCUGAGCCUGCUUCCGAUACGGGCAGACUAGAGGUAUGCAGGGGAGAACGGAAUUCCUGGUGUAGCGGUGGAAUGCGCAGAUAUCAGGAGGAACACCGGUGGCGAAGGCGGUUCUCUGGGCAUUACCUGACGCUGAGGAGCGAAAGUGUGGGGAGCGAACAGG
rnacentral:rRNA from 1 species